GUUGUUUUUUUUUUUAGGUUCUCUUGGUUUUGCAUAUAAAUAAAAUUGAUUGAAAGGUCUAGAGAAGCUUCUAGAACAUCAGUGUAUUUUCUCCCCUCUUAUGAUUAUUGAAACGUGGUGUUACAGAAUUUUUCUGAAUAUUAAUUGACCUAAUUGGAGAUACAAAGAAGUGUUUAUUGUACUCUCUCUAUAUGAAAGUAUACUAAGAAUUUUGUGUCAUCUAGUCUUUUUUCUAAAGCCUAAUUUCAGCAACAUGACUAGUAACUGUUAUCACUUCUUUUCAGAGUGUAAACGUGUGUGCGCGCUCGUGCAGCAGUCUUCACUAAACUGAACUUCACAAGAAUCUUUCCUUUAUGAGGGAAAGAAAGAAUAAAUAGUUGACUUGGGCUUCGGGAAACUAUGUUAAAUGAGCAUUAAGACUAUGGCUUCGGUACCUAAAAGCUGAAACAGUUAGCAUAAGUGGUUAUGCUCUGCACUUCACACACCUGUAGCAUUUACAUGUCAGCAUAUAUCUGUUGUGUAAGAUCACCACAUUAUUUGAUUUUCAUGUUGGAGGUUGAGUUUUGUCCUUGAUUCUGAUUUUGCUGACUUUGGUGAUUUAAGGCAGGCCUCCGAUAUUUCUGUCUGUAAAGCCACUAUGUGAUCUUGUGUAUUUUGUUGGGAGAUUCCAUGAAUGAAUACUGUGAUUGGAAUGGUGGAUUGCAAGAAAGACAGAACUUCUCUGGGCCUAUGAAAAAUUUAAGAUUUCCUCCAAUGUGGAACUUUUUUACCUGUUGUAAACCAUUGCUAGAAGUAGAAUUGCAAAACUCUGCCCUGCUACCAGGGUGUGGUUAGAUAGGACAGAGUUUGGAUAAAACAUUUAUAUUGAGGUUUGGUUCUGGUGUCUGAAUUCCACCACUGUGGCUAUGACUCUAGACCCAGUAAACCAUAACUUCUCUUUAGAGCCAUAUGGAUUAUUUAGUCACCACAGCUGCCGUGCAUACUCACUACCAAGGCUGGCAUCUCCUCGGUGUGCAUGUGUGGUGCCUGUUAAUGUUAAUGGGAGUUAGGAAUGUGCACACAGAGAGGGCAAUGAGAGUCUCUCCUGAGACAAAAGUCCCAAUUACAUUUCUCAGUGAAGAGGACUUAGUGUACCUACAUAUUAGCUGCUCUUCUAAAUGAAAUAACUUGCUUCCUUUAAAUUCUCAUUCCCUUCUCACACUCCCUGAACUAGUUAAACCAAUGAAUCCUCAUUAGUCUAUGAUUACUUGCAAAAUUUCAUUUAAAGCAUAGGAAGUUAUUUUUGAUUGAAAUGGGAACAAAAAGCUUUUGAAAUUGCAUAUUAGUAUUAUUUUUUUUAAAAUAAAAGGUUUCUACAGGCUUUCACACAUACAAAGCCUUGCCUGUAGGAAUUUAUAGAGAAAUUAUUGAGAGGGACUCCUGAAAUAACUUGACUGGCAUUUGAUGGGGGGGGGGGGAAUCACUACAUUUAAAAAUAUGUAUAUAAGGGAAAUGGAAAGCUUGUAUGUGAUGUUCUGUAGAAACCUUUACUAUAUUAGUGUCCUCAAAUGAAGAAGAAUUGACUUAGGUGGUGUCAUAAGUUUCUUCCCCCCCGCCCCCCACUUCUUUCAAAAAAAAAAAAAAAACAACACUAAGGAUGAAGGUAGUUGGAAUUCAUAGUCAGAUAUAUCAUUUUCAACUUGGAAUAGGAACUAGAACAGGAAAUUGAUUUUAUAUUUAUUAUGAAAGCAAGAACUCUGCCACCAACUGACAGCUAUCCAUGUUUUAGUUUUGUGAUAAUUGUUCACAGACAUUACUCUGCAGUUGGCCCAGAUUAUUUAUAAUGUUGAUUGGGAGCGUCUGUCCAUUAAAAGGUAUGUGUAUAAUGAAUAUCUUUAAUUAAACCAAGUAAUAUUGGACUAUUUUAUUUUUCUUUUACAUUGAAUCUUAGGUUUAGGAUUAACUGUCAGUACGGGUAAGAACAAGUUACAAUAGAUUGUGCAAUGAUUUGUCUGGCUUCAUGGAUGUAUUUAUUACCAUUUUUGAACAAAUUAUACUAACAUGAAAAGUUGUGUUUGAAAUGAUUGUGUGCUAGAUAAGGCGAUACAUUACAGGAAUGGUUGGGUUUAUGGAGCUUUAUGUAGAGGUUUUCUCAGAAAUUAUAGCACAGGGCUGUCACUAUAAAACCCAGUGAUACAGUUGGUAAUAACAUACAGUGAAGAUAUUUUUAGAUUUUCACUUGUUAUUCAAAUAAGUGAGAACCCUCCAGUUUUUCUCGUCAUAUUUCUUUGUUGGAAUCAGUAGAGGGAAAAAAUGAAGGAAAUUCUUUUAACUGUGUAUGGGGUGUGGGUGUUUGACUUGACUGAAUUUCUUCUUGCUCACCACUUGUUAGAGCAGUGAUGUGAUAUUGAGGAUAUCCUUGGGAACUUAUUGACUUCUUGGUUCUUGACCUUUUGACGGUGAUCAUGUAUAGGAAUGGAAUGUCUGGAAAUGAGAUGAUGGACUCUAUAAACAUAAAUUC